rnacentral:rRNA from 1 species
UAAAGCGAUUAAGCGCAUAUGGUGGAUGCCUAGGCAGUCAAAGGCGAUGAAAGACGUGACAGCCUGCGUUAAACGCCGGUUAGGUGGCGAGUAACUUAUAACCCGGCGAAUUCUGAAUAGGGUAACCUACUGAAAAGACAGGAUCUGUAGGGGAAGAUAUAACUUACAGAAGCAAACCAAGGGAACUGAAACAUCUAAUUACCUUGAGGAAAAGAAAUCAAAUGAGAUUCCCUUAGUAGUGGCGAGCGAAAAGGGAAAAGCCCAUUAAGCAAUUAUAUAAGUUAGAUAAAACAGAUGGAAAGCUGUACCAGAGUAGGUGAUAGUCCUGUAAUUUAAAACUUAUUAAUUGUGAAAUAGAGUAGGUCGGGGCACGAGAAACCUUGACUGAAGAAGGGGGGACCAUCCUCCAAGGCUAAAUACUAUUGACUGACCGAUAGUGAACAAGUACCGUGAGGGAAAGGUGAAAAGAACCCUAGUUAAGGGAGUGAAAUAGAUCCUGAAACCGUAUGCGUACAAGCAGUGGAAGCCUAAAAAAUCAAGGUAACUGCGUACCUUUUGUAUAAUGGGUCAGCGAGUUAUUUUCGGUAGCAAGCUUAACCGGAUAGGGGAGGCGCAGGGAAACCGAGUCUUAAAUGGGCGUAUAGUUGCCGGAAAUAGACCCGAAACCGAGCGAUCUAUCCAUGAGCAGGUUGAAAAUUAAGUAACAUUAAUUGGAGGACCGAACCGGGGUCUGUUGAAAAAGACUCGGAUGACUUGUGGAUCGGAGUGAAAGGCUAAUCAAGCUCGGAGAUAGCUGGUUCUCCUCGAAAGCUAUUUAGGUAGCGCCUUAUGUAUUACCAUUGGGGGUAGAGCACUGUUUCGGGGGAGAGUCAUCUAGACUUACUAAAACGAGGCAAACUACGAAUACCAAUGAGUGCAGCAUAGGAGACACACUAUGGGUGCUAACAUCCAUAGUGGAAAGGGAAAGAACCCAGACCGUCAGCUAAGGUCCCAAAAUCUUAGUUAAGUGGAAAACGAUGUGGGAAGACUAAGACAGCUAGGAGGUUGGCUUAGAAGCAGCCACCCUUUAAAGAAAGCGUAAUAGCUCACUAGUCUAGUUCUCCAGCGCGGAAAAUAUAACGGGGCUAAAACUAAGUGCCGAAGCUACGGGUUUAUAUUGAAAAUAUAAGCGGUAGAGGAGCGUUGUGUAAGUCUGGGAAGGUAUAUUGUAAAGUAUACUGGAGAUAUCACAAGUGCGAAUGCUGACAUGAGUAACGAUAAGGGAUGUGAGAAACAUCCCCGCCGAAAAACUAAGGUUUUCUGUUCCACGUUAAUCGAAGCAGAGUUAGUCGGUCCUAAGGUGAGGCUGAAAAGCGUAAUCGAUGGAAAACUGGUUAAUAUUCCCGUACCAUAUGUAUAUUGCGAUGGGGUGACGGAGAAGGCUAGGCGAGCCCAGCGGUGGUUGUCUGGGUAAAAAUAUGUAGGUUUAGAAAUUAGGUAAAUCCGAUUUCUUAAUAAAACUAAGGUAUGAAACGAAACUAACUUAUUAAAGUUAGUGAAGUCGUUGAAGCCAUGCUUCCAGGAAAAACCUCUAAGCGUCAGAUUACAUAUGACCGUACCACAAACCGACACAGGUGGUUAAGUAGAGUAUACUAAGGCGUUUGAGAGAACUCGGGUGAAGGAACUAGGCAAAAUGGCACCGUAACUUCGGGAGAAGGUGCGCCGAAUUAUUGUAAAACCUAUAAACAGGUAAAGCAAGAAUCGGUCGAAGAUACCAGGUGGCUGCAACUGUUUAUUAAAAACACAGCACUCUGCUAACGCGUAAGCGGAUGUAUAGAGUGUGACGCCUGCCCAGUGCUGGAAGGUUAAUUGAGAGGGUAAGCUAUAACAAGCAAAGCUCUUAAUCGAAGCCCCAGUAAACGGCGGCCGUAACUAUAACGGUCCUAAGGUAGCGAAAUUCCUUGUCGGGUAAGUUCCGACCUGCACGAAUGGCGUAAUGAUGGCCACACUGUCUCCAUCCGAGACUCAGUGAAAUUGAAAUUGCUGUGAAGAUGCAGUAUACCCACGGUAAGACGGAAAGACCCCGUGAACCUUUACUAUAGCUUCAUAUUGAAAGUGGAGAUUAUUUGUGUAGGAUAGCUGGGAGACAGUGAAGUAAAACCGCUAGGUUUUAUAGAGUCAGCCUUGAAAUACCAGCCUAAUAUUAUUUACUUUCUAACUUAAUACCGUUAUCCGGUAUAAGGACAGUGUGUGGUGGGUAGUUUGACUGGGGCGGUCUCCUCCCAAAGAGUAACGGAGGAGCGCAAAGGUACCCUCAGUACGGUCGGAAAUCGUACGUAGAGUGUAAGAGCAUAAGGGUGCUUAACUGCGAGACCAACAAGUCGAGCAGAUACGAAAGUAGGUUCUAGUGAUCCGGUGGUUGCUGUAUGGAAGGGCCAUCGCUCAACGAAUAAAAGGUACUCCGGGGAUAACAGGCUAAUACCGCCCAAGAGUUCACAUCGACGGCGGUGUUUGGCACCUCGAUGUCGGCUCAUCACAUCCUGGGGCUGAAGCAGGUCCCAAGGGUAUGGCUGUUCGCCAUUUAAAGUGGUACGCGAGCUGGGUUUAGAACGUCGUGAGACAGUUCGGUCCCUAUCUACCGCGGGCGUAGGAAGUUUGAGAAGAGCUAUUCUUAGUACGAGAGGACCAGAGUGGACGAACCACUGGUGUUCCGGUUGUCAUGCCAAUGGCAUAGCCGGGUAGCUAAGUUCGGAAGGGAUAACUGCUGAAAGCAUAUAAGCGGGAAGCCCACUUCAAGAUAAGACUUCCCAGGGUAAUACCCCUAAAGGACCCUUGAAGAUGACGAGGUUGAUAGGCACGGUGUGGAAGAGUGGUAAACACUUUAAGCUAACGUGUACUAAUAGUCCGUGAGGCUUUAUCAU